ACUUGUGAAGGAACAGCAAAAUGAGUAAGAGUUUUUGGGAAGCUUGAAACAGCCCAGAGAUUGAGAAAAAUAAAGAAAAACAUUUGGGAAAAUGGGAGGGAUAAGAGGAGAGGGAAGGGGGAGGGGAGAGACUUGCUGUAUUCCGCUGCGGAGUUGGUUUGCGUAUACAAAAACAUACGUACACCCCUCUCCCGCGGAUUGCGAGACUCACUCGGCCGUCCUCUGGCCAGUAGCGUCCUGCUAACCGUCCCAGACACACACACACAUAAGCAAGACGCCAGUGCUGCAAGAGUUGUGUCGACAUACUUGAAACGAGAAGAAGAAGAAGAAGAAAAUUCUAGGCUGAAAUUUUGGUGUGCGGGCACGUCGGAAGUGUUGGGCUUCUCUUUGCGAGUGGUGCGCACAGGCAAAAGAGGCCACUUUCAAGUGUCUGGCUUUAUUCCUCAUCCGGAAUAGCCGGAAGAAGAGAAGGAAUUUCCCUAUUUUUUUAUUUUUUGAAGGAUGUUUUGGUUUGGUAUCGAAAAAUUCGGCCCCAUCUGCUACGGGAUUCUUUGCAUUGUUGGCUGUUUAGUGAAGGAGGAGUUUUAGUGGCGGUUCCAAUGAGGAGAGUGUCCCAGUUUCCGGAGUGAGAGGGGAGGGGGUGGGGGAGGCACAGAAAAAAGAAGAAAGAAAAAAAAAGUUUGGGAAUCCAAAUUUGAACUGUUUUUAAACAAACAAAGAAAAAAGAAAAAAAGGGGAAAACGGAAGAUUGCAAACACUCCACCUGGAAACCCUUUCCUAUCACUGAAGUGAAAGAUCACGUCUGGAACAUGUCCGCCUCCCGGCGGCGUCAUUCGGAACAAUUGCCGCUGCAGCGACCACUGCCGGAUGAAGUGGAACCUAGCGCCAUCCGUCAUGGAGAACAGGCGAACCAUCGCAUCCAUCGGUCCCACCUUCAGCAGCAGCAGCAGCAGCCGCUGACGAGGACGCGCAGCUCUGCUCAUUUGUUUCUCGGCCAGCUGACGGGAACGUGUUCCAGUCUCUUUCGCCGUCUGUCGGUUAAAGUGCGUUACUUGUCGCUGUCGCUCAUCCCGGGCUCUUCGGGUUCCCGAUCGAGCUCGGCGACGGGCGGAAUCGGAUCAUCCAGGCCGUCCACUCCGCCGUCGGGUCAAAGAAAUCGGCCCCGAUCGGCCGACAGGGUCGUCGAAGAUAUCGCAGCUGGCCAAAAGGUGCGCCCUAGACGCCACACGACUACCGUCUGCACGACGAUGGACGAAUCCACCCCCGUGGCCAAUCACGGCCCUGUGAAUUGUAGCGCUGCGUUUCUCACGGAUUACCGGACGGCUAGACGUUCGCCCAGUCCCGGAUCGGACAGUGAAGCCACUCCGACGCCCAGCCCUUGCACGUUUUCCAUGCCGACAGCCACCGUUGAAGACACGGUGUACACGGCUGGCCAGCAACACCUGAGGGCCGAUGAUUACCCAACGCUGAAAGGAUCGAGCCGACGGAGGCGGCGCCACCAUCACCACCACAGCAGCAGCGGCAGCAGCGGCGGCGGCGGUGGCAAUGGGAGCCACAACAACAACAACAACAACAAUCAUCAACAUAAUCGGCAUCAGCGUCAUAACCGGAAGAGUCAGACGGAAGCAUCUACAGGUCGCGAUCGUGCCAGUCCAUUGACGAUGGAGGACGACGGUGUGGCGAUGAUGAACAGCUGCGCCACAGCAGCAGACGACGACGACGACGGCGACCACCAGUUGUUGAACGAGUCGACUGCAACACCUUUGGCACUGGACCAAUGUUUUGCUCUGGGCCUAAAUUUAACCUCUUUGGCUCCAAAGUCGUCCAAGUCGACGGAUACAUUUUUGGCCGGCGACCAACAAAACGACGACGACGACGACGAAGACGAGGAGGAGGAGGAGGAAGAAGAAGAAGAUGAAAAUGAAAACGACGUUGCCGCCGCUGCUGCUGCCGGAUCGUCUGCUUGUGAUCGCCAGUCGGAGCAAGUAGAAUGCGAGUUGUUGACCAGUCAGGAUAACACGAACGGCAGCACUGCGUCCAAUCCUUAUUUCGAUUGGUUUCUGUCGUGCAAUUUGCAAGAGGAAGACGAACAGUUGGGCGCCAACGCGUCGGUGGGCGACCGGAGGCCGUCCUUGAAAGUGUCUCACAAGUCAGUGGGGUCCGCCCGAGGAGGAGGUGGAGGAGAAGAGGAGGAAGAAGAAGAAGAAGAUUUGCAUCGGUCGCUCGAAGAUUUGCCUUACCCCAUUUUGCUGGACGAUUGGAUUUCUCCGCCUUCGCCCACUUCGCCACCGGCCGUUGCGUUGCAACACGACCAUCCGUCGGCUUCGAUGGAUCGAGAUCCGCUGACGGCGCUGCGCCAUCACUCGACCUGGUUCGAAGAUUAUGCCUAUCCGGCCUAUUCCAGCAAAUCGAGUCAGGCUGGUGGCGCUAGUAGUAGCGGCAACAGCAGCAAAUCGUCGAAUCGAUUGUCUUCGACUGGAACGCUGGCCGCCACGUCGACCGGCACCAGCCGGAUGAUGGCCGAGAAAGCGUAUCCGUACGUUUCGACGCCGGCCACACCGUCGCGGCACAGCAACACGAAAUACCAUCAGGGCACGUCGUCGUCCUCCUCCUCCUAUCACCUCGAUCCGUACGAUCUGCUCUACGACGAAGUGGCUUAUCAGGUGCCCGAUGCUGCAGGAUUGGGAGCCAAACUGGCAUCGUCUGGUGGCAAACCGUCUACGUGCACGUCGAAUAUCAUUCCGGUGCCAUUGUCGUCGUCGUCGUCUUCGACGCUGUCCAGCAAUAAUAACAGCGAACGCGGAGUUCAUCCGGGACCCGAAUCCUUUCCUGGCGUGGAGCCCGGCACGCGCGCUACCGGUUGCCAUGGAUACGGCGGCCCCGUGUCUACCAGCGCAACCGGUAGCGGCAAGGUACCGCUGCUGUCGUCGUCGUCCAACGCAGCCGUUGGCCAAUCGUCUGCUAAUUCAUCGAACGCCAUUACCCGAACGGUUAGAACGAGACGGUCCCAGCCGUUGGGCAGCCGUUGCCUCAGUUCCCGUGCCCCGUCUGUGGAGGACGACGAAGAUGGACAUCUUCUUUACCGAAAUGGCGACAUUCUCCAGAAUCGAUAUCGAGUGCAGGCCACCUUGGGCGAGGGCACCUUUGGUAAAGUGGUCAAAGUCAAAGACGUGACCAAAUCCAGGGACGAGAGCUUCGCCUUAAAGAUUAUCAAGAAUGUAGAAAAAUAUCGGGAGGCGGCCAAACUGGAGAUUAACGUGCUGGAAAAGUUGGAUCGCAAGGAUCCCGAAGGCAAAUACCUUUGCGUCAAGAUGCUGGAUUGGUUUGAUUAUCACGGCCAUAUGUGCAUCGCCUUUGAAAUGCUUGGCCUUUCCGUCUUUGAUUUCCUGAAGGACAACAAUUAUCAGCCCUAUUCGCUGGACCAGGUGCGUCAUAUUGGCUACCAGUUAUCCUACGCCGUCCGAUUCCUCCACGACAACAAGUUGACUCACACGGACUUGAAGCCCGAAAACAUUCUCUUUGUCGACUCGGAUUUUGACAUCUCCUACAACCCAAAAAAAGAAAAGGGAUUACCGACGAGUGAAAAGAACGGACGUGCGUUUGAUUGAUUUUGGGAGUGCCACGUUUGACCACGAACAUCACAGCACCAUCGUCUCGACGCGUCAUUACCGCGCACCCGAAGUCAUAUUAGAAUUGGGUUGGACGCAGCCUUGCGAUGUCUGGUCGAUUGGAU
rnacentral:misc_RNA from 1 species